rnacentral:tRNA from 1 species
AGCUUUAUAGUUAAAAAUAAUAUAAAAUUGCAAAUUUUAAGUUGAAUAAGAAUUCUAAGGCU